rnacentral:rRNA from 1 species
GACGAACGCUGGCGGCGUGCUUAACACAUGCAAGUCGAGCGGUAAGGCACCUUCGGGUGCACACGAGCGGCGAACGGGUGAGUAACACGUGAGUAAUCUACCCUUCACUUCGGGAUAGCCGCCGGAAACGGUAGCUAAUACCGAAUACGACCCAUCCUCGCAUGAGGUGUGGGGGGAAAGUCUUAUCGGUGGAGGAUGUGCUCGCGGCCUAUCAGCUUGUUGGUGGGGUAACGGCCUACCAAGGCUUCGACGGGUAGCCGGCCUGAGAGGGUGACCGGCCACACUGGGACUGAGAUACGGCCCAGACUCCUACGGGAGGCAGCAGUGGGGAAUCUUGCACAAUGGGCGAAAGCCUGAUGCAGCGACGCCGCGUGAGGGAUGAAGGCCCUCGGGUUGUAAACCUCUUUCGGCAGGGACGAAGCGAUCGUGACGGUACCUGCAGAAGAAGCCUCGGCUAACUACGUGCCAGCAGCCGCGGUAA